rnacentral:lncRNA from 1 species
AGCUCUUCUUCAUCUUGCUCACCCUCCACUUGCCUGUGUACCUCAUUUUUUCCUGGUUUCAGGACAAGAACUUGGGACACAGCGAAUGGCAAGGCUAAAAGCUGUAACAGAAGCAGGACUGAGACAUGCCCCUUGCUCAUCACAUUGAGGGUGAAGAGAAGGAAAUAUCCGUGGCCCUUUGGGCCCACCCCAAGCCAGGGCUGUGACUCCCACUAUGGGGCCCUGUGGUUCCUGGUGUCUUCAAGCUUAUGGAUGCCACUGUGUUCUUUGGUGCCAGCUGUGGAAGCUGCUUGUGGUUCACCUGGUGUGGCCAUAAGCUUUCAGAGAACAGCACCCAAAUCAGCACCUGGAGCAGCCCACCCUGCUGCAGCAGCUGGUUCGGAGGUACAUGUGAAGGUUUGUUACACAGGUAAGCUGACAUCAUGGGGGUUUGUUGUACAAAUUAUUUCAUCAUCCAAGAAUUAAGCCCAGUACUCAAUAGUUACCUUUUCUGAUCUUCUCCCUCCUCCCACCCUCCAUUCUCAAGUAGACCCCAGUGUCUGCUGUUUACUUCCCUGUGUCCAUAAGUUCUCAUCAUUCAGCUUCCACUUAUAAGUGAGAAAAUGUGGUGUUUUGAUUUCUGUUCCUGUGUUUGUUUAAAAUCAUAGCCUCCAGCUCCAUCCCUGUUCCCACAAGACAUGAUCUUGUUGUUUAUGUGAUGGCUACAUAGUAUUCCAUGGUAUAUAUGUACCACAUUUUCUUUAUUAUUGGUGGGCAUUUAGGUUGAUUCCAUGUUUUUGCUAUUGUGACUAGUGCUGCAGUAAGCAUUUGUAUGCAUAUGUCUUUAUGGUAGAAUGAUUUAUAUGUCUCUGGGUAUACGCCCAGUAAUGAAAUUAUUGGGUUGAAUGGUAAUUCUGCUUUUAGCUCUUUGAGGAAUUACCAUACUGUUUUCCACAAUGGUUGAACUAAUUUACACUCCCACCAACAGUAUAUAAAUGUUUCCUUUUUUCUGAAGCCUCACCAACAUCUCUUAUUUUUUGACUUUUUAGUAAUAGCCAUUCUGACUGGUGUGAGAUGGAAUCUCAUUGUGGUUUUGAUGUGCAUUUCUCUAAUGACCAGUGAUAAUUAAGCAUCUUUUCAUAUGCUUGUUGACUGCAUGUAUGUCUUCAUUUGGAAAGCAUUCAAGUCCUUUGCCCACUUUUUGAUGGGGUUGUUUUUCUUUUGUAAAAUUGUUUAAGUCCCUUAUAGAUGCUGGAUAUUAGAUCUUUGUCAGAUGCAUACUUCGCAAAUAUUUUCUCUGAUUAUGUAGGUUGUCUGUUUACUCUUUUGAUAGUUUCUUUUGCUGUGUAGAAACUCUUAAGUUUAACUAGAUCCCAAUUGUCAAUUUUUGCUUUUGUUGUGA